rnacentral:rRNA from 1 species
AGCUUAUUGAAUUUUAAUAUAAUAAGUAUAUUCUGCCCAGUGAUUUUUUCAACGGCCGCGGUACCCUGACCGUGCAAAGGUAGCAUAAUCAUUUGCCUUUUAAUUGAAGGCUAGAAUGAAAGAAUAAACACGAAUCUAUCUUUCCCAAACUAUUCUCUAAAAAUUAUUCUUUAGGUGAAGAAACCUAAAUCUUUUAAAAAGACAAGAAGACCCUAUCAAGCUUCAUAUUUUCUAAACCCAAUUUAAUUUAAAUAUUUGGUUGGGGCGAUUAAUGGAAAUUUCUACUCUUCCAUAAACUUAAAGAUCCAUUUAUCUUAUAAUUUAAAAAUUUAAAAGAAAAAAGCUACUGUAGGGAUAACAGGCUAAUAUCUUCUAAGAGUCCAAAUUAAAGAAGAUGAUUGGCACCUCGAUGUUGGCUUAGGAUUACUUCACUUUGCAGAAGAAGUGAAAGUUAGUUUGUUCAACUAUUAUACUCCU